rnacentral:sRNA from 1 species
AUUCGGGCUCCCGCCUCUGUUCAGGACACUGGGUCCCCUAGGAGCCUCCCCAGGCUUAAUGAUUGUCCAGAAGGCGGCUAUAAAGGGAGCCUGGGAGGCUGGGUGGAGGAGGGAGCAGAAAAAACCCAACUCAGCAGAUCUGGGAACUGUGAGAGCGGCAAGCAGGAACUGUGGUCAGAGGCUGUGCGUCUUGGCUGGAGGGACAAGGUCCCUGACUCCAAUCCUGAGCCCUUUGCCCCAUGUUGGGUGGUGGAGCAACAGAACUGCUAGAGGCCCGGGACUGGCAUCCAGGGUGAGGGUUCAUCACCAGCAGCCAGUCGGCAGCUUAUGCUAUCAGCAAGUUUGUCAGUGGGGUGCUGUCUGACCAGAUGAGUGCUCGCUGGCUCUUCUCUUCUGGGCUGCUCCUGGUUGGCCUGGUCAACAUAUUCUUUUCCUGGAGCUCCACAGUACCUGUCUUUGCUGCCCUCUGGUUCCUUAAUGGCCUGGCCCAGGGGCUGGGCUGGCCCCCAUGUGGGAAGGUCCUGCGGAAGUGGUUUGAGCCAUCUCAGUUUGGCACUUGGUGGGCCAUCCUGUCAACCAGCAUGAACCUGGCUGGAGGGCUGGGCCCUAUCCUGGCAACCAUCCUUGCCCAGAGCUACAGCUGGCGCAGCACGCUGGCCCUGUCUGGGGCACUGUGUGUGGUUGUCUCCUUCCUCUGUCUCCUGCUCAUCCACAAUGAACCUGCUGAUGUUGGACUCCGCAACCUGGACCCCAUGCCCUCUAAGGGCAAGAAGGGCUCCUUGAAGGAGGAGAGCACCCUACAGGAGCUGCUGCUGUCCCCUUACCUGUGGGUGCUCUCCACUGGUUACCUUGUGGUGUUUGGAGUAAAGACCUGCUGUACUGACUGGGGCCAGUUCUUCCUUAUCCAGGAGAAAGGACAGUCAGCCCUUGUAGGUAGCUCCUACAUGAGUGCCCUGGAAGUUGGGGGCCUUGUAGGCAGCAUCGCAGCUGGCUACCUGUCAGACCGGGCCAUGGCAAAGGCGGGACUGUCCAACUACGGGAACCCUCGCCAUGGCCUGUUGCUGUUCAUGAUGGCUGGCAUGACAGUGUCCAUGUACCUCUUCCGGGUAACAGUGACCAGUGACUCCCCCAAGCUCUGGAUCCUGGUAUUGGGAGCUGUAUUUGGUUUCUCCUCGUAUGGCCCCAUUGCCCUGUUUGGAGUCAUAGCCAACGAGAGUGCCCCUCCCAACUUGUGUGGCACCUCCCACGCCAUUGUGGGACUCAUGGCCAAUGUGGGCGGCUUUCUGGCUGGGCUGCCCUUCAGCACCAUUGCCAAGCACUACAGUUGGAGCACAGCCUUCUGGGUGGCUGAAGUGAUUUGUGCGGCCAGCACAGCUGCCUUCUUCCUCCUACGAAACAUCCGCACCAAGAUGGGCCGAGUGUCCAAGAAGGCUGAGUGAAGAGAGUCCAGGUUCCGGAGCACCAUCCCACG